rnacentral:lncRNA from 1 species
UUCUAUUUUUUUUUUUUUUAAAAAAGUCAUUUCUCAUUAGGAAUGUGUCAAACUGAAUGAAAAAGGACUAUUAACAGAUGCCACUAUGGAGAUGACAUAGGUGUUAGAAUUAUCUGACAGGGAUUUUAAAGCAGUUAUCAUAAAGUGAUUCAACAAACACUUAGGAGCACAUUUAAAGAAAUGAAAAAAAAAAUGAAAGUCUCAGAAAAGAAAAAAAAAGAAAGUCUCAGAUGAGGGUAAGAAACAUCAAAUGGAAAUUUUAAAGCUAAAAAAUACAUUAGCUCAAUGGGUGGACUUAAAAGCAGAAUAGAGAAAACAGGUGGAAGACUGUGAACUUGAAGAAAAAAAAUGAUAGAAAUUACUGCAUCUGAACAAAAGAGAAAAUAGUAUCUGAUAUGUUUUUAUCAAUGUACAUAUAUGUCUGUUUUCUCCCAAUGUAGCUUAUAUAUUUAUUUAACAUUAGAGCAUAUGAUAUUUUUAUUCCAGCUGUAAGUGUUGUAAGUGCUCUUUUCCUCUUAAAAGUCAUGGCUACUAUAUACCAGAUGCCCUAAUAGUAUGAUGAAGACUUUGUAACCCUUUGAAAAGUGUAUAUUAGCAUUACAGGCCAUCUACUCUAUGUAUUGUGACUUGGCCUUGAGAACACUCUAAGUAGAACUCAUAAACAUACCCAAUAUUUGAAGGUAAUAAGAGUCACAAAACUAGUUUCUUGGUCUCAGGAUUAUUUUGGGCAGGGAUUGUUAAGUAGAAAUUCCAGAGACUUUCACAUUCUCUGCUUUAUUCUCUCUUCAAAUGCUGCUAUGUGGUUGUCUGAUAGGUAGCAGAGAAUUAAAAGACACUCAGGUAGACAACCUCCAGAUUUCCCUUCCUUUAUUUCAGUUGUUUUUGGAGGAAAUACAUAGUGGCAGUGAGGGGAAUGAGAUUCCGAAUCAGACAAUCAGGUUUUAAAUUCCAUCGCUCUCACUUGCUAAAUAUGUGACAUUGGACAAGGUAUUUAACUGCUUAUAACCCAGUUUCCCAUGUAUAAAAGUCUGGCAAAUUCCCAUUGUGGCUCAGUGGGUUAAGAAUCUGACAUAGUGUCCAUGAGGAUGCAGGAUCCAUCCCUGGCCUCACAUAGUGGGUUAAGGAUCCAGCAUUGCUGCAAGCUACAGCAUAGGUCAUAUAUGAAGCUCAGAUCCAGUGUUGUACUGUAGGGCUGCAGCUGCAGCUCUGACUCGACCCCUAGCCUGGGAACUUUCAUAUGACCCAGGUGUGGC